rnacentral:rRNA from 1 species
UACAGAGGGUGCGAGCGUUUAAUCGGAAUUACUGGGCGUAAAGCGUGCGUAGACGGUUAUUUAAGUCGGGUGUGAAAGCCCCGGGCUCAACCUGGGAAUUGCAUUCGAGACUGAAUAGCUAGGGUACGGUAGAGGGAAGUGGAAUUUCCGGUGUAGCGGUGAAAUGCGUAGAUAUCGAGAGGAACACCUGCGGCGAAGGCGGGUUGCUGGGCUGAUACUGACGCUGAGGCGCGAAAGCUAGGGGAGCGAACGGG